CCUACGGGGGGCUGCAGUGGGGAAUUUUGGACAAUGGGGGCAACCCUGAUCCAGCCAUGCCGCGUGAGUGAAGAAGGCCUUCGGGUUGUAAAGCUCUUUCAGGUGGAAAGAAAUCUCCCGGGUGAAUACCCUGGGAGGAUGACGGUACCAUCAGAAGAAGCACCGGCUAACUACGUGCCAGCAGCCGCGGUAAUACGUAGGGUGCGAGCGUUAAUCGGAAUUACUGGGCGUAAAGCGUGCGCAGGCGGUUGUGUAAGACAGAUGUGAAAUCCCCG
rnacentral:rRNA from 1 species